rnacentral:rRNA from 1 species
UACGUAGGGUGCGAGCGUUAAUCGGAAUUACUGGGCGUAAAGCGUGCGCAGGCGGUUUUGUAAGCCAGAUGUGAAAUCCCCGAGCUUAACUUGGGAAUUGCAUUCGAUACUGGUUAGCUAGAGUGUGGGAGAGGAUGGUAGAAUUCCAGGUGCAGCGGUGAAAUGCGCAGAUAUCAGGAGGAACACCGGUGGCGAAGGCGGGUCUCUGGGCAACAACUGACGCUGAGGAGCGAAAGCGUGGGGAGCGAACAGG